AAAAUUGAAAUCUAUUUCCUACCAUUUAUCUUGUGGAUGCUGUCUCGACUCCUUAUUUUAUUUUAUUUUUAGGUAAUCGUGACUGCACCAUGUACAGCAAAUAAGAACAGCAUAUUAUCAAAAUGACAAUGGAACUCUGACUCUGGACAAUUCCACAACACAGGACAUGAACCCUGAACUAACCACAUGGAGCUGUGAAAUGGAGCUGUGAACAACCAUGACUGUAGGCUGAAGCCAAUUCUGUGACAUAUGAAACAAACUCCACACCAAUGAGACCUGAGGAAAUGUUCCUAUCAGUACCUGUGACUGGUGAAGAAUAAGAAGAUGGAGACCUGAAUGCUGUUUUUGAGGUCCUCAGGCUCCCUACAAACCUGUCCUGUUGAAAUAGAGUGGAAGUAUCUUGAUAUCCCCACAAUGACUCAAACUACUAAAGCAACUGAAUCUGGUAGCCUGCUUUACAGGCUUCAUCUAGGUAAAUGUUUCAAUGGAAAACAGAACCAAAGUAAAAUGCAACCAACAAUUGCGCUAUAUCUUCAUAAUUGUUUGGCUCUUAUAUGGGGGAGGGGGCAUCCACAGGUGAUGAGCAUAUACCCUGAAGCAUGAGAUUUGAUUAUCCUUAUCCUUGUUUGCAUAGCAACGAAUUCAAUUAGCAGCCAUAAAAUUAGCCAGCUUAGUUAUUUUGGGUUGGGGGGGGUUGUUUUUGUUUUCAUCUACUGAGCAAAUGUAACCAUAAGGAUGCAAUUUUUUAAAAAAUCAUUGAUAUUUAUCCAAGGGAUAGAUGUAGUCUAUAAAGGCCAUGAAAUGUCCUUGACUAUAGACAAUUUUUAAAAAUACAAC
rnacentral:lncRNA from 1 species